rnacentral:lncRNA from 1 species
CGGGACGCUCCGCCCCGCCCCUCCGGGCAGCGAGGUUCCGCCUCACCUUUCAAAGGCCCUAUGCUGGUCCGGCUUCUCUCCACCACCCACCCACUGACGGCAGGGCCCCGCCUGCAGGCCGUUCAACUAUUUGUCUGCUGUUGCGCGCACCGUGACCCACGCGGAAGUGGAGAGCGGCGAGUGGAGGUCCCAGCGCAGCACUCAUGUUACUUGAGGAAGCCCAGAAGAGGAGGAGGAGGAGAAGAAGGAGAGAACAGGAGUCAGGUAUGGCUCUUUCUCAGGUAAGGUCAUAUUCUCAGUGGAUUCUCACACUGCCUUCCUGAAAUGGCCUUCUCUGGACUCGCUAAUCAUGUCUGACUCUGGAGUGUCCUGUCUGACUCCUGUACAUGCACACUCACCUGGGGCCUUCCCUCAGGGUCUGUCGUCUCCACUUAGAUCUCGUCUCCCCAUGACCCGGUGACCUGGCCCUUGUGAGGAGGCUCCCCUGGGCACUGUCCUGGGCAGGGCUUCACAUCCAUGGGUUGGAGAUGGGGUUUCAGUGCUGUUGGGCAGCAGGGAUUGCUUUGCUUAGGGCCCACCUGGAUUCCCUGUCUGCCCUCUGUCAACCAGGGUAAGGAAGCUGCACACUAGAUGUGAGGUAUUAACAUGCACAGUACGUGCUAAAAUCUGGAAAAGAGGCCAAUAAGGGGAAAUCAGAUCUGAAUUUUUAAAUAGCAUUUAAAACUAAAUGAGGACCUCCUUGAAAAUCUGAAAUAUUUGGAAAUGGAAUGGAAAGUUCAGAAACAGACCUCAGGUCUAGAGAGUAUUUCAUUACAGUGUCUACUUUAAACUAUGAAAUAUAGUUGGCUAAUUAGUUUUUCUUCUUUUUUGGCCAUACAAUGCAGCUUGCAGGGUCUCAGUUCCCUGAGGAGGCAUUAAACCCGAAACCCAGUGGUGGAAGUGUGGGAUCUUAACCAGUGAACUGACAGGGAAUUCCCCCAACUUUCCUAAUCUUCAUGCAAUAUUUGGUUAUGGAGUAAAAAGGUAAACAUUGGAUUCUGUUAAUAACUACCUCCCUUACGUUAAGGAUAAAAUCAUAUUACUUUUUUUUUUAAUAUAUUUAAAAAAUAUAUAUCGGCUGUACUGAUCUUCAUUGCUGCAGUGGCUUUUAUCUAGUUCUGGUGUGUGGUGGCCACUCUUUAGUUGCAGUGUAUGAGUUUCUUAUUACAGUGGCUUUUCUUAUCUUGCAACUCAGAUUGUAGAGCACGCUGGCUUCAGUAAUUUCACCUGCUGGGCUCUACAGCUCUUGCUCAGAAAUUGAGGCUCAUGGGCUUAGUUGCCCCUCAUCAUGUGGGAUCUUAACGGAUCAGGCACCACAGGGGAAGCCCUCGUAUUAUUUUUUAAAUCUGUAUAUUAUUUUCUGCUUGUAUUAUUAUUAUUAUUAUUAUUAUUUUUUUGAGCUAGUAUAAGAUAAUGUCGAGGACUUUCCUGGUGGUACAGUGAGUAAGAAUGUGCCUGCCAGGGUAGGGUGCACGGGUUCCAUCCCAGGUCCAGGAAGAUGCCUCAGAGCAACUAAGCCCAUGUGCCACAACUACUGACUGUGUUCUAUAGCCCGGGAGCCAUAACUCCUGAAGCCCACACACUCUGGAGCGUGUGUUCAAAAACAAGAGAAGCCACUGCAACGAGAAGUCCGGGCAUUGCAGCCGUAAGUACAGAAAGUGUGCUCACAGCAACAAAGACCCAGCAAAACCAAAAUAAAUAAGCUUUAGAAAAGACA